rnacentral:rRNA from 1 species
AACGCGAAGAACCUUACCAGGCCUUGACAUCCCGUGCUAAGCCCAGAGAUGGGUGGUCCCCGCAAGGGGCGCGGAGACAGGUGCUGCAUGGCUGUCGUCAGCUCGUGUCGUGAGAUGUUGGGUUAAGUCCCGCAACGAGCGCAACCCUCGCCUUUAGUUGCCAUCAUUUGGUUGGGCACUCUAAAGGGACCGCCGGCGACAAGCCGGAGGAAGGUGGGGAUGACGUCAAGUCCUCAUGGCCCUUACGGCCUGGGCUACACACGUGCUACAAUGGCGGUGACAGUGGGCAGCGACCACGCGAGUGGAUGCGAAUCCCAAAAAACCGUCCCAGUUCAGAUUGCACUCUGCAACUCGGGUGCAUGAAGGUGGAAUCGCUAGUAAUCGCAGAACAGCAGGCUGCGGUGAAUACGUUCCCGGGCCUUGUA